UUGAAUCUCUUUUCCAAAAGUACGACGGAGUAUUAGGGCCACAUUGAGGAACCCCCCCCCAGUCUGCGAUUGCAAUGUCGGUCUGCUCACUCCAGCCAGCUGACAAAAGUUGGCAACCCUGGUCAUAAUAUUUCAAGAACAAAAGACGUAAUAUUACGAGAAUAAAGUCGUAAUUUUACGAGAAAUAUCAUAAUAUUGCGAGAAUAAAAUCGUAAAAUGUAGAGAGAAAUUUUUUUUUAGGAAAAUAUAUUACCAGCAACCAACAAAACGGGCGAGAGGACAGUCUAAUAAUGGCAGCGUGAGCCUGCUUCUGGCUGUUUGUCUCAGGCGUCGUGCCGUAUAAUGCCACACACAUCAGUCAACAGAUGCAGCGUUGCCUGGCAGCUGACAUGCCAGGGAUUCUCAGCCCCAGGGAAUGGUCUGAGAUUGUUUCUCUGUCCAGUAAUAAAACCUGUUGCUUUUUUCCCAAACAUUUUAUCAGAAUAAAAAUUUCAUGAAUUAAA